AAUAACCAAAUAACCUACUUGGGUUAAGGGUCAAGUUGGUAAUUCUUCUUACAUCUCCACCCCCGGGUGCCCAGGUAUCAUAUACGCCCCCAAAAUAAAGAGCUUUGAGGACCAGGAGAAAGGCUCCUAUACCUAAGAGGAUCAAGUGAAUACCCAAAAUUGUGGUCAUUUUAUUUCUAUCUUUCCA
rnacentral:antisense_RNA from 1 species